CUUACAAAAGGGCAGUCCAAUUGCUGUAUACUGUUAAGAAUGGACAAUGUACCCGCGGUACGAUACAUCAACCGCUUGGGGGGCACCCAGUCGAGAACCCUGGCGCAUCUGACGAAGGAAAUCUUCGACUACUGCCUCCCGCGCAAUAUCACACUACGGGCAGAACACCUGCCGGGGGAGACGAACCUCACGGCGGAUUGGUAUUCCCGUCAUUGGAGGGAUGCCAGCGACUGGCAACUGGAUCCGCGAAUAUUCGCACACCUACAAGACCAGAAGGGACCCUUUCUACUGGAUCUCUUUGCCUCACGAAACAACCGGCAGGUCCCGCAAUUCUACAGCUGGCUACCGGACCCGGAUUGCUUAGCGGUAGAUGCCUUCACUCAGCACUGGCCACAACAAGGGGCAUAUGCCUUUCCC